rnacentral:rRNA from 1 species
CCUACGGGAGGCAGCAGUGAGGAAUAUUGGUCAAUGGUCGGGAGACUGAACCAGCCAAGCCGCGUGAGGGAGGAAGGUACAGAGUAUCGUAAACCUCGUUUGUCAGGGAACAAAGGCGGGGACGUGUCCCCGGAUGAGUGUACCUGAAGAAAAAGCAUCGGCUACCUCCGUGCCCUCAGCCGCGGUAAUACGUAGGAUGCGAGCGUUAUCCGGCUUUCUUGGGUUUAACGGGUGCGCAUGCGGUCUUUUAAUUCCGCGGUCAAAGCCCGGGGCUCCACCCCCGCCCGCCGUUUAACCUGGCCCUC